UACGGGGGGGGGCAAGCGUUUGUUCGGAAUUACUGGGCGUAAAGGGCUCGUAGGCGGCCAACUAAGUCAGACGUGAAAUCCCUCGGCUUAACCGGGGAACUGCGCCUGAUACUGGAUGGCUUGAGAUUGGGAGAGGGAUGCGGAAUUCCAGGUGUAGCGGUGAAAUGCGUAGAUAUCUGGAGGAACACCGGUGGCGAAGGCAGCUCGCUGGGACGGUACUGACGCUGAGACGCGAAAGCGUGGGGAGCAAACAGG
rnacentral:rRNA from 1 species